CCAUUCCACUGGCAGCUGGGUGGCACAGUUACUAGGCAAGUUAGAAAGACACAAGGGACUUCCAGGUUAACGUGACUGCAGUGGAGAAGCAGGACCCUUCCUCUCCUCACCACCUACCGAUAUAAACUACCUCAAAAGGAAAAAAAAAAUUCAGAUGAAAGAAGGGAUUCCCCAUUAAGGUGCAGCAUUGAAGGUAUGUGGGAUUUGGGCAUUUCCACACUAUAAGGGGGUGAAAUAGCUCCCACCAAAACACAAGGUGAUCUAUUCUCCCCCACUCCAUCUACAGAGCCAGAGUCAGAGCCAGCAUGAUAGAAUCAGCAAGUGAAGCAAGGGGCACCUCUAGGUCUUUGGCAGCUGACUAAGACCACCAGGGACCUACCCUUGAAAGCAGCUAGAGAAAGAGAAAGAAAAAAGGAAGGAAGGAAGGAAGGAAGGAAGGAAGGAAGGAAGGAAGGAAGGAAGAAAGAAAGAAAGAAAGAAAGAAAGAAAGAAAGAAAGAAAGAAAGAAAGAAAGAAAGAAAGAAAGAAAGAAAGAAAGAAAGAAAGAAAGAAAGAAAGAAAGAAAGAAAGAAAGAAAGAAAGAAAGAAAGAAAGAAAGAAAGAAAGAAAGAAAGAAAGAAAGAAAGAAAGAAAGAAAGGAAGAAAGGAAGGAAGGAAGGAAGGAAGGAAGGAAGGAAGGAAGGAAGGAAGGAAGGAAGGAAGGAAGGAAGGAAGAAAGAAAGAAAGAAAGAAAGAAAGAAAGAAAGAAAGAAAGAAAGAAAGAAAGAAAGAAAGAAAGAAAGAAAGAAAGAAAGAAAGAAAGAAAGAAAGAAAGAAAGAAAGAAAGAAAGAAAGAAAGAAAGAAAGAAAGAAAGAAAGAAAGAAAGAAAGAAAGAAAGAAAGAAAGAAAGAAAGAAAGAAAGAAAGAAAGAAAGAAAGAAAGAAAGAAAGAAAAUAUAAAAUGUUUACCACGGAAAUUAUGUAAUAAUGUUGUUUACUAGAAAGAAACAAGCCCUUGUUCAU
rnacentral:lncRNA from 1 species